AGUCCAUGAUGAGGGCAUAGUCUAAGCAUGUCCUUGUAACGUUCCCAAGCUUCGAAGAGUGAUUCGUUAUCCUUCUGGGUAAAUUGAUCGCGACUUUACGUGU